rnacentral:rRNA from 1 species
UACGUAGGGUGCGAGCGUUAAUCGGAAUUACUGGGCGUAAAGUGUGCGCAGGCGGCAGAGCAAGUCGAGUGUGAAAGCCCCGAGCUUAACUUGGGAAUUGCGCUUGUGACUGGCGUGCUGGAGUGUGGCAGAGGGAGGUGGAAUUCCACGUGUAGCAGUGAAAUGCGUAGAGAUGUGGAGGAACACCGAUGGCGAAGGCAGCCUCCUGGGCCAGCACCGACGCUCAUGCACGAAAGCGUGGGGAGCAAACAGG